AUGUCCCAGUCUGGAAAAGUCCUUCAUUUGUAUGUGGAAGUGAGGUCUGCUCCAGGCCAGAAUGGAGGGAAAGAAGAAGGGGUCUCUCAGGGGCAGUGCCAGACCGCCUCCCAGGCUGCUGCCAAGACCUCUGCAGUUCACCAUCUGCCGUCUCCAAAAGCCCCCCUCAACUUCCAGCAGCCUGGCAGCUCCAUCUCCCCGUCACUUACCCAGCGCUGGAGUGCGCCCUGCGAUCAAGGAUGCUCCCUUUCCUCCGGGAAGGUUCCCUUCCUUCAGACGCCAGCCAAACGCCCGGAGUUCGGCAAGGAGGAGGUCAGCGAGCGCAUGCGGUCGGUGGUGACUUUCGGUUACAUCGAGAAGCCAAACGUGAAAACGGUGAAGAGUCCACUCAACUCUUCCUGCAAAAGAGGGACCAGAGAGGAAAGACCCACCUCUUGUCAGUUCCGUACAAGGCCGAACGACCCGGUUUGGCGCGCUAGUCCCGAUUCUUCGUGCAGCUCAAGUCCCAAACUGACUUUUUCGUCUCCAGGGACUCACCAGCAGCCAUUUUCUCCAGGCCUUCGUCAACCACCCUUAGAUCCCAUCGGGAGAGCAGCUACGCAGAGGGCUGUUGAGGAGUUCGGCUCCCCUUUACUGAGGAUUAAGCUAGCCCACGCCAUGGAGCACAACUCGCACUACCACCUCCAGCCACGCUGUCAGUCCUGGGCCGGGUCGCCUGUUCAGCGUCAGAACAACACAGGCUGCCAAAACAUAGCAGAGAGGAUCCAGGCUAUUUGCGGGCUCCCCAGGAGCCAAGCGAAGGAGCAAUUUCUCCCCCAGUUCAGAAAGUAUGCUCGUCCGCAGUCGUCGGUAGAGUCCCAGGGACUCGUUCAGUGUCCAGACAACAAACGGAACGCUAACAGGAGCAACUCAGCACAGGGCUCAAUCCUCCAGUUUGGCAAUAAUUUAAUUGAGGGCUUAAAUCAAUUAAGCGAUACUAGAGGCUCCUCUCCAGCCCAUCCGCCUGAAGAGGGGCUGGAGGAAGCAACAAAGGUAUCGUCUAUCUUCCCAGAAGCAAAAAGGUCCUCAUUGCACAAUUCCUUAGGUGAGGCUGUGGGCGCCUCAAACUCCGAAGAUGCACAACACUCAAGGCAAAUAGUCAAGAUGAAUAUCCCUUUAAACGAACAAAACACGCCAGCACCUGAAAACACAGUCAGUCACCAGCCUAAAAGCUCUACAGCUCAGCCACAGGAAACAAACCCCCAAAGCCGGGGGGAGGGCGCUCAGAAAGCUCCGUAUCAGAGCGGCUAUCUAGCAGCAUCCCAGACUUCCCCCGCCAUUCCUUCACGUGUCAUCCGUCCCGCUCAUCCGCCCUCGGACCUCAGCUCGCCCAUGAGAGACCCCAGGCAGUUCCAAGCAGAGUUCCGAGCACCAGACACACCCACUUUGCACCGCCACCAGUUUCUCCCGUACACCAGAGAGCCCUGGUCCCCCAGCCGGGACAAGAGGGGAGACCUGAGCUGUUUUGAGAUUGGGAGUAGUCCAGAGCCCGAUCGCGGUCUUCUUCUCAGUCGGAGCAUUGAGGAGGCGCCGGUUAGCUGGACGUCACGGCAGCAGUGGGGGAACCUGACGGAGGAGGGCCCCGGGUCUGGAGUGGAGAACGGCAUCGAUCAAACCUCCGACAGGCGAUCCGAUGAUGGAUGCAAGCAGCUCAGUCCCACAUCACAGCACAAACGGGCCGAGCAGAGGCGGAGGGAGAUUCUGCUCCUGGGACCGGUGGCUCUGGACUCUCACGAGGAGGACGAGGGUUGUGAGGACGGGGAGCAAGGACCGAAGGGGACUGACGAACCUCCAGAGCAGAACGGAACGACGAGAGGAGGGUCUUCCUCCAGGAGCUCCAGCGGGGUCACGGGCAGUUUAGGGGAUUGCGUGUCCCCAGAAUCCAGUCAGUCCAGUCACCACAGCAACGAGACUGGGGUGGCCUCCUCAGGAAUACAGGUGGGCGUUAGAAAAACCUCAACAUUUUCCACCACGCUAGUUUGGUAA
rnacentral:lncRNA from 1 species